AGUUCGCCAGACAGUCGCCGCUUCACUUCGGUGGAGGGGAGGAAAGUCCGGGCUCUACAGGGCAGGGUGCCAGAUAACGUCUGGGCGGCGCGAGUCGACGGAAAGUGCAACAGAGAGUAUACCGCCUAAGUAUCUUCGGAUACCGGUAAGGGUGAAACGGUGCGGUAAGAGCGCACCGCGCGGGUGGCAACAUUCCGUGGCGAUGGUAAACCCCACUCAGAGCAAGACCAAAUAGGGUCCCAUUAGGCAUGGCCCAUGCUGGGACCGGGUAGGUCGCUGGAGGUGUAUGGUGACGUACAUCCUAGAUGAAUGGCUGUCUACGACAAAACCCGGCUUAUCGGUGAACUCCU
rnacentral:RNase_P_RNA from 1 species